rnacentral:rRNA from 1 species
UACGAAGGGGGCUAGCGUUGUUCGGAAUUACUGGGCGUAAAGCGCGCGUAGGCGGACAUUUAAGUCAGGGGUGAAAUCCCAGGGCUCAACCCUGGAACUGCCUUUGAUACUGAAUGUCUUGAGUUCGGGAGAGGUGAGUGGAAUUCCGAGUGUAGAGGUGAAAUUCGUAGAUAUUCGGAGGAACACCAGAAGCGAAGGCGGCUCACUGGCCCGAUACUGACGCUGAGGCGCGAAAGCGUGGGGAGCAAACAGG